UCCCUGGUAGUAUAUCGGUUUAGUACACGCGCCUGUCAUACGUUAGAUCACACGAAGAUAGAAGACGCGCGAAAGCUGGGUUCGACUCCCAGCCAGGGAG